ACACAUGCAAGUCGAGCGGUAACAGAUCUAGCUUGCUAGAUGCUGACGAGCGGCGGACGGGUGAGUAAUGCAUAGGAAUCUGCCCGGUAGUGGGGGAUAACCUGGGGAAACCCAGGCUAAUACCGCAUACGUCCUACGGGAGAAAGGGGGCUUUGGCUCCCGCUAUUGGAUGAGCCUAUGUCGGAUUAGCUAGUUGGUAGGGUAAAGGCUUACCAAGGCAACGAUCCGUAGCUGGUCUGAGAGGAUGAUCAGCCACAUCGGGAUUGAGACACGGCCCGAACUCCUACGGGAGGCAGCAGUGGGGAAUAUUGGACAAUGGGGGCAACCCUGAUCCAGCCAUGCCGCGUGUGUGAAGAAGGCCCUCGGGUUGUAAAGCACUUUCAGCGAGGAAGAACGCCUAGUGGUUAAUACCCAUUAGGAAAGACAUCACUCGCAGAAGAAGCACCGGCUAACUCCGUGCCAGCAGCCGCGGUAAUACGGAGGGUGCAAGCGUUAAUCGGAAUUACUGGGCGUAAAGCGCGCGUAGGUGGCUUGAUAAGCCGGUUGUGAAAGCCCCGGGCUCAACCUGGGAACGGCAUCCGGAACUGUCAGGCUAGAGUGCAGGAGAGGAAGGUAGAAUUCCCGGUGUAGCGGUGAAAUGCGUAGAGAUCGGGAGGAAUACCAGUGGCGAAGGCGGCCUUCUGGACUGACACUGACACUGAGGUGCGAAAGCGUGGGUAGCAAACAGGAUUAGAUACCCUGGUAGUCCACGCCGUAAACGAUGUCGACCAGCCGUUGGGUGCCUAGAGCACUUUGUGGCGAAGUAACGCG
rnacentral:rRNA from 2 species